UGUCACGUCGGUUGUGAAAGCCCGGGGCUUAACCCCGGGUCUGCAGUCGAUACGGGCAGGCUAGAGUUCGGUAGGGGAGAUCGGAAUUCCUGGUGUAACGGUGAAAUGCGCAGAUAUCACGAGGAACACCGGUGGCGAAGGCGGAUCUCUGGGCCGAUACUGACGCUGAGGAGCGAAAGCGUGGGGAGCGAACAGGAUUAGAUACCCUGGUAGUCCACGCCGUAAACGGUGGGCACUAGGUGUGGGCGACAUUCCACGUCGUCCGUGCCGCAGCUAACGCAUUAAGUGCCCCGCCUGGGGAGUACGGCCGCAAGGCUAAAACUCAAAGGAAUUGACGGGGGCCCGCACAAGCGGCGGAGCAUGUGGCUUAAUUCGACGCAACGCGAGGAACCUUACCAAGGCUUGACAUACACCGGAAAAUUCUGGAGACAGGGUCCCCCUUGUGGUCGGUGUACAGGUGGUGCAUGGCUGUCUUCAGUUCGUGUCGUGAGAUGUUGGGUUAAUUCCCGCAACGAGCGCAACCCUUGUCCCGUGUUGCCACCAGGCCCUUGGGGUGAUGGGGACUCACGGGAGACCGCCGGGGUCAACUCGGAGGAAGGUGGGGACGACGUCAAGUCAUCAUGCCCCUUAUGUCUUGGGCUGCACACGUGCUACAAUGGCCGGUACAAAGAGCUGCGAUACCGUGAGGUGGAGCGAAUCUCAAAAAGCCGGUCUCAGUUCGGAUUGGGGUCUGCAACUCGACCCCAUGAAGUCGGAGUCGCUAGUAAUCGCAGAUCAG
rnacentral:rRNA from 1 species